GACGAACGCUGGCGGCGUGCUUAACACAUGCAAGUCGAACGAUGAAGGAGAGCUUGCUCUCCGGAUUAGUGGCGAACGGGUGAGUAACACGUAACUAACCUGCCCCUUUCUCUGGGAUAACGCUCCGAAAGGAGUGCUAAUACCGGAUACGAACUCUGAACACAUGUUCGGAGUUGGAAAGUUUUUCGGAAAGGGAUGGAGUCGCGGCCUAUCAGCUUGUUGGUGAGGUAAUGGCUCACCAAGGCGACGACGGGUAGCCGGACUGAGAGGGCGACCGUCCACACUGGGACUGGGACACGGCCCAGACUCCUACGGGAGGCAGCAGUGGGGAAUAUUGCACAAUGGGCGAAAGCCUGAUGCAGCGACGCCGCGUGAGGGAUGAAGGUCUUCGGAUUGUAAACCUCUUUCAGUAGGGACGAAGCGAAAGUGACGGUACCUAAAGAAGAAGCACCGGCUAACUACGUGCCAGCAGCCGCCGUAA
rnacentral:rRNA from 1 species